UUCCGGUGAUCCCCGCCGGACCGGACUGCUAUCGGAUUGGUACUAAGCCAUGCGAGUCAUUGUAGCAAUACAAGGCGGACGGCUCAGUAACACGUAGUCAACCUAACUCGUGGACGUGGAUAACCUCGGGAAACUGAGAAUAAACCACGAUAGAUCAUAGUGCCUGGAAUGGCUUAUGGUCCAAACAGUUUACUGCCAUGGGAUGGGACUGCGGCCUAUCAGCUUGUUGGUGAGGUAAUGGCCCACCAAGGCGAUUACAGGUACGGGCUCUGAGAGGAGAAGCCCGGAGAUGGGUACUGAGACACGGACCCAGGCCCUAUGGGGCGCAGCAGGCGAGAAACCUUAGCAAUGUGCGAAAGCACGACUGGGUCAGUCCGAGUGAUUCCUGAUAAAGGAGUCUUUUGCUUGUCCUAAAAGCACAGGUGAAUAAGGGGUGGGCAAGUCUGGUGUCAGCCGCCGCGGUAAUACCAGCACCUCGAGUGGUCAGGACGUUUAUUGGGCCUAAAGCAUCCGUAGCCGGCUCUGCAAGUCUUCGGUUAAAUCCACCUGCUCAACAGAUGGGCUGCUGGAGAUACUACAGAGCUAGGGAGUGGGAGAGGCAGACGGUAUUCAGUGGGUAGGGGUAAAAUCCUCUGAUCCAUCGAGGACCACCAGUGGCGAAGGCGGUCUGCCAGAACACGUUCGACGGUGAGGGAUGAAAGCUGGGGGAGCAAACCGGAUUAGAUACCCGGGUAGUCCCAGCUGUAAACGAUGCAAACUCGGUGAUGCAUUGGCUUAUGGCCAAUGCAGUGCCGCAGGGAAGCCGUUAAGUUUGCCGCCUGGGAAGUACGGACGCAAGUCUGAAACUUAAAGGAAUUGGCGGGGGAGCA
rnacentral:rRNA from 1 species